rnacentral:rRNA from 1 species
GACGAACGCUGGCGGCGUGCUUAACACAUGCAAGUCGAACGGUGACGAGGAGCUUGCUCCUCUGAUCAGUGGCGAACGGGUGAGUAACACGUGAGCAACCUGCCCCAGACUCUGGGAUAACAGUUGGAAACAGCUGCUAAUACCGGAUACGAGACGGAGAGGCAUCUCUACCGUCUGGAAAGUUUUUCGGUCUGGGAUGGACUCGCGGCCUAUCAGCUAGUUGGUGAGGUAAUGGCUCACCAAGGCGACGACGGGUAGCCGGCCUGAGAGGGCGACCGGCCACACUGGGACUGAGACACGGCCCAGACUCCUACGGGAGGCAGCAGUGGGGAAUAUUGCACAAUGGGCGAAAGCCUGAUGCAGCGACGCCGCGUGAGGGAUGAAGGCCUGGUGUAACUACUUCAGCAGGAAGAAGACGAAAGU